GACGAACGCUGGUGGCGUGCUUAACACAUGCAAGUCGGACGAUGAAGCCGGAGCUUGCUCUGGUGAAUUAGUGGCGAACGGGUGAGUAACACGUGAGUAACCUGCCCUUGACUCUGGGAUAACUGCGGGAAACUGUAGCUAAUACCGGAUACGACCCUCGGAGGCAUCUCCUGGGGGUGGAAAGAAUUUCGGUCAAGGAUGGACUCGCGGCCUAUCAGCUAGUUGGUGAGGUAAAGGCUCACCAAGGCGACGACGGGUAGCCGGCCUGAGAGGGUGGCCGGCCACACUGGGACGGAGACACGGCCCAGACUCCUACGGGAGGCAGCAGUGGGGGAUAUUGCACAAUGGGCGCAAGCCUGAUGCAGCAACGCCGCGUGAGGGAUGACGGCCUUCGGGUUGUAAACCUCUUUUAGCAGGGAAGAAGCGAAAGUGACGGUACCUGCAGAAAAAGCACCGGCUAACUACGUGCCAGCCGCCGCAGUAA
rnacentral:rRNA from 1 species